UUCCCUUAAACAAUUUAUAAUAGUCCAAAAACACCCCUUUUUUUCAAGCCGGAAAAACCUUCGCCUCCCUUCGUUUUUUCUUAAACCCUAUAGAAAAAAUGCGUCGACCCGAGGGAAGCCCUGGGAGGAGAAUGAGGAUCCAGUUUCCAGCUAAGAAAACAACGUAGCAGGACGACGAUGUGGUAGAGUUGUUGAGAAAGGAGAAAAAAGAUGACUCCAAAGAACAAACCCGACUCCAAAUUCUCCCUAGUCGGUCCGCUGGUUCCGGCUUCUGAAUCUCUGAAGAAAUGGCCGAGCCGAUACACUUACCAAAGCUCUUAAAAGAAGAAGAGAUUGGUGCUAAUGGGUGAGAUCGUUUUCUUAUAAAUUGUUUUUAAUUUAUUAUAAGUAAUUAUUUUAUUUGCAUUAACUGAUCAUGGAUAAAAGGUGUUUUUAAAGUCAUAUUUUAUUUAAUUCAUCAGGGGAAAACAAAAACAAAAACUGGCUUUUCAUGAAACAAUUCCAGAUAAGUUGUAAAGUGAUUCUGGUUCUUUGUUUUAAAAAUUCACAUUCUGCUUAUGAACAAGUUUUUAAUUGAAAGCAUAUUCUAAGUUGAAGGCUUGAUGACUAGAUUUUUUAACUUUUUCCUUCUUUAGUAACUUAAAUAUACAAAUUGAUGUGUUUUAAUUUGAUAGUACGGUAGCAACUAAAACACCUAAUCACAUUAAUACGUUUCACUUUGUAUAGAUGAAUUAUAAAGAAGAUGUAGUACUAUUUAAAUUUUUAAGAGAAUUUAUGUACACUAUUAAUGGGUAUUAAUUUAUAAACUAAUUAUGUACAUCACUGUUAAAAUCACCAAAUCACAUGUUGACACAUUAUCAUUAAUACACAAAUUAUCAAUUUAUAAGCUGUUCUUCAAUGUCUUAAAAAAGGAAACUUAACUUUUAUAACUCACUUCCAAAUACAUCUCAAUUGGGCUUCUUACCAUUCUUAUUUGUGAAUUAUUCAUAAUAUUGUUGUGUUGAUUUCUGUGUUCUGGGUAUAGUGCACACUAAAGCUUUAAUACAUGGCUGUGAGUACAAUUGAGGUGAGAAUGCUUAUGUCAAGGUAACUUCUUAAUACUUUACCUUCCUUUCAUUGAAAGUGUUUCACAGUUCAUAUAGUGAUAGUUGCUUAUACUGCUAGAAUCAUUGAGUUGUUUGAAGGUACUGAGGGGGAGCCAUACUUUACGGCCCAAUGGUUUUAUAGAGCAUAAGCAGAUGACACAGUCAUCAAGGACCAUGCUAAUCUUGUUGACAAAAGGAGAGUAUUUCUAUCAGAUUUUAAAGAUGACAAUACACUGAAUUGUAUCAUGUCUAAAGUAAACAUUGCUCAAGUCUUUUUUUGGUAAGUUAAACAUUGCUCAAGUUGCUCCAAACGUAGGAGUAUUGCAUUGUGCUUUCUUUAAUUAUUUUCUCCGUUUUAUGGUUUGAUCAGUUGAUGCAUUCUUAUCAAUAUAAAGGAUAGUAAUUAGUUCACUUCACAUUUCGGAUGGACUUAAAGGCAAAGAAGGAAAAAAUUCCUACCUGUGACUUGUAUUGUGAUAUGAAAUACUCAUUGCCAUAGACUUUUUUGAAUAUAAUCAAAGGUAAUUUGUUUUGCUCCUACAGUAUGGGUUUCUUUUUUUUCCUCCUCAAUUAAUUGAUGUUAGUUGGUUUAUUAACUCAGAAAUUGAUAAAAGAGGUAGUGAUUCGCCGAGUGGUUCAAACAACACCACUGGUAAUUCUGAGAUGUGUUGGUGGGACUUGUAUGCUGGUUGUGGUGCCAUGUCCAGUGGUUUGUGUUUCAUGUAGAGGUGGAUCUGCAUUCUGAGAUGCGUCAAUAUCUGAAGUAAAAUUAGCAACUGUUAAGUAAAUAACUGAUCCUGAUGAUACUUCCAUCAGCUUUUAGUGAAUGGAUCUGCAUUAUGUCAUUAUCGAAGAUAUUACUUUUCAACUAAUUGGAAGCAUGUUGAUUCUUUUUGUGUUUCAUCUAGAGGUGGGCUGUUGACAUAAAUGCUGAUACAUGUAAAAGUUUGAAAUACAAUCAUCCUGAUACUCAGGUGAGGAAUGAAGCAGCAGAAGAUAUUUUAGCUUUACUAAAGGAAUUGGAAAAGUUGUGCCAGCACUUCGCAUUGUUUGGUUCAGAAAAAGAGCCAGAGUAGAGUUAGCAAAGAA